UGCCCGCCUCGGCCUCUCAAAGUGCUGGGAUUACAGGCAUGAGCCACCGUGCCCGGCCCAUGCUAUGUUUUAAGUUUGAACAGCUCCUUUGCAUCCAUCAUUUCAUCUGAUUUUCCUUAUCACUGAUAAGACAGACAGAGAGACAUCAUUUUCAAUUUUCAAGGGAGGAAACUGACACCCGAAGAGGCAGAAUGACUUGCCUGGGUUUGCACAGCUACUUUUGAGAAAUACUGCAAAGGAGAUCCAAAUCUCCCAGUCUGUCUAGAGCUCUCCUCCAGAGCAAACAGCAACUCCAAGUUAGGGUUGAGAAGGAAAACUCUGGUAAAAGGAUGUUAUUUUCUUUUUCUUUACUCAUUUCUCUCAAAUUUCCCAAGGAUUUCUCUUCAUCUUCUCUUUCAAACCCCUCUUUUUAUUUAAAGGAGCAGCAUGGCUCACUGGCUGGGUAAGAGCCUGGAGACCAAGAACCUGAAGACCGGGGUUAUGAUGGUGAUAAUGAUGAUGAUGAUGAUGGUUAUGAUGAUGCUUACUUUGUUACCUUGUAUAAAGCCCAGAUAUCCUCCAGAGUUCAGCUUUCCGUGAGGAAAAUGAAGUCAGUAACCAAGAAUACUCAUCGGUGUGCUUUGAGAUUAUACACCCAUGUUGAGUGCUAGAGGCUGAAACUGGCCUAAAGAGGUUUAGAUUGAGACAAAUGAAAGGAAGAACAGAAGAGGAAGCACCCUGCUCUAUGAGGUCACCGAAAUACAGAGAAGUUCAUAAUUCAACUAAGUCUAUGCAGCUAAAAGGUGGCAGAACUACAAGUUGAACUUGGAACCUGACACAGGACAUUGCUUUGCAGGAUUCACAUUUGCCACCACCUCACAGAGUUAAUGAGGUUGGCUCUGCAUUCUUGAUGCCAUCUGUGUCAGCAAGUCGAGGAUUAUGAAUCCAGUUCAAUCGUAAGGCUGUCUACACACUAGUAAACCUCAGAAGAACUCUGCUACAUUUCCUGGUAUCUACAGAUUUCUGCUUAUGGAGAAACAGACAAGAUUUUGUCACUAUGUACAACAGUCUACAAAAACAUUUUUUCUUGACUGGGAAAUAGGAUAAUUUUCCACCUCCUAGUUCUUCCAGAAGAGUGAAAAUGGCUGAAAUGCUAGGAACUUUUUGGCAGUGUCUGUAACGGUGAAUGCUGGGCAUAAAUUCAAACUGCUACUUUAUCCAACUUGCCAAAAAUGUCCAUCAAGAAUUUCUCCCUGUCAGAUUAUUCUGAGAAAGAGCAUUUUUAAUCUGCAAAAUAAUAAUAACAAUAAUGAUAAUAAUGACUGUCUGUCAGAAGUUCCAUUAAGUGCUUUGAGACUUAUCCUCUAGAAUCUGGUAAGACUCCCCAGAUAAGGGCUUCUGAGUUCUCUUCCUGUUUCUUGGUAAGUACUAAAAAUGUGGUUCAAGGAGAGGAUAACAGGAAGUUCUCUGAGUUUGAUCGGCUGGAUCUGACACUCGAGCACACCAAUAUAGAAAGCAACCAAGGGGCAAUGUCAUCUGAUGCUUUUUUCUUCACUGCAUCCUUUAUCUUACAAUUUAGUGCUUCAGCAACAGCCAUUAAUGUGGCUCACGAUUUUAUGCAUUGGCAGUUUGGGCUGGGCUCAGCUGGUGGUUCUUCUGGUCUGAGCUGGGCUCAGUUGAUCUCCACUGGGCUCAUGCAUGCAUCUGCAUUCCUGCUGGUGGAUUGGCAAGGGCAUGCAGAUUUGUGGUAGCUAGCCUGGUCUUGAUUGUUGACAAGUCUGAGCUCACUCUCCAUGUUGGUUUCUUAUCCUCCACGUGGUUAGCCUGGGUUUGUUCACAUGGUGACUGGCUUCCGUGAAUUGCCAGAGAGCAAGCCUGUGAGAAGAAGACCAAGCACUUUUCAAGUAUUUGUUUUUAUUCCUUUGCUCCUGUCCUACUAGUCAAAGCAAGGUACUAGUCAGCCCAUAUUCAAGGCAUGGACCCAAGCUCUAGUCAGCCCACAUUCAAGGCAUGGACCCAAGCUCCAAUUAUUGGUGAGAAACGCUAUCUUGUGAGGCUGUGGGUAUGGGAAGGAGAUGAAUCUGUGGCUAUUUUUCUAAUAUACCAUAUUUGCAAAACACAAAAACCUUUUAAGAGUUAAGGGGCCAAUAUAUUAUACCUUUCUCCCACUUUUGAGUUUAGAACCAGUUGAGAGAAGUACAUAGGGGUCAAAUGGGGCAGAUCAAAUACCAGCUUAAUUAUUGGUGAAGUUAGAAUGGGAACCCAUUUUGUAUCUGUAGUCUGAACAGACUUUCUAUAAUCCUCUCUCUCCUAGAAUGAAAGUAGCCAUCUGGAAUUUAAGCUGUCCCCCUGCAGGAGCUUAAAAAUGUGUGUGUGUUUUGAGUAGGUGGAUGCCAGAGAGAGAGGAAAAAAAAACACAAGGAAGAGGGCCAGGUAGAGAUUCUUUUCCUCUGCUCUGUAGGGAAAAAUUAUAUCACUGAAUGCUAGAUACUUCCUUUUCCAUCAUGGGAAUAAAGAAAAAAGUGGAAAGAGAGGGAAAAUGUUACUAUUUAUAAGCCUAGGUGGGAAUGCUAUGAGAGGGAGAAAAAUGGUCCCCUUUAUCCCAGAUGUGUUCCGAAGCAAUGAAGGUAUUUAUGCUUGUGUGUGUGCCCUGAGUGUCGUUUUUUCCCUCUAGGUCAUGGCAAUGAAACCAUUUAUCACUGUGAACAUGUGGAUGGUAACAGAAGAUUCCAAAUGGGAUUUGCAAAAUAGGACUUCUUCAUUGACAGUGGAUGGGAAUCAGAUGGGCAUAGGGCAUCUGGUCCAUGAUCAUCCUUUGUUUGUGCUGGUCUCCGAUGAAAUAUCUGAAGAAGCCCCAGUGAGAAUAUGCUGCUUCUCUCAUGUCCAAGAUGUCCAUCUUGCCUACACUCCUGGAUUCUCUGGAAGAAGAAAUCAGAUCUGCCCCCUUGAAAUAGGGGUUGUACAACAUUGACUGUUUCAGAAGACAGCUACCUCUUUGUGCUUCUGCUGCCAAUGCUGCUUCCAGUUGAGAGUUCCUUCAAGAACAGAAUGCUCAGUGGUGCCACUUAUACCUUGUUGUCUCUACAUGUCCAGAAGUCAUUUGCCUCAAACAUCUGGGCUACUCCUGCCCUCUCCACAUGUCUAGUCUUUUCCGUCCCAUAGAGGAAGAAGUUUCUCUCUCCUCUAUUCCAAAAUCCCACUGCACUUUCUAACCUGGAUUAACUACUUCUCCAGUAUGACUGGCAAAGCAAAUGUUAAUUUCCUUUAGGGGGAUGCUCUGUCAACAAAAAAUAUUGUAUAAUUUUAGCCUGAUGAACCUAGCAAGACAAUAAAAAAAUUACUUUGUCUUGUGCUGAAAUGAUCUUUGAUCCCUUUUUCACAUUAGAAACUGAAUACAUUUAUGCAAUUGUCUUAACAAUUAUGUGAUAAACUAUUUUAAAAAUAUGUUCUGGUACACCAAUUGACCACAUUAGUGACAUCUUUGUUAUGCAGAUUGUCUUAUAAUUUCAACACACUUUUGUCAUUGUAUUCAAAUUUUAUUCCAUGGUAAAUAUUUAUAUGAUUCCAACUUAUUCUCAAAGGACAUGACAGAAAAUAAAAGAGCAUAUGGAGUCUCAUGUUCCUCACACUGUAUCUGAAUAAAAUAAACAAAA